GGGCCGGUAGCUCAGCUUGGUAGAGCAUUUGCCUUUUAAGCAAGUGGUCAUGGGUUCAAAUCCCAUCCGGCUCG
rnacentral:tRNA from 1 species